GGAGUUUGUUAAGAGGGAGAUACUAAAAGCACAACGUCAGGCAAUACCAAUGAGACGGAAACAUGGAAGGUGCCUAAAGAAGCCAGGGUGGCUAUCUAAAGAACUUUUAACUGAGUUAAGAUUAAAAAGGAUGUGUACAAAAAUGGAAAAGGGGGAAACCACCAAAGAGGAAUUCAAACAAAUAGCCAGCACGUGUAGACACAAAGUCAAAAAAGCUAAAGCACAGAAUGAACUCAGGCUUGCUAGAGAGGUUAAAAGCAACAAAAAGGCUUUUAUGGGUAUGUUCGUAGCAAAAGGAAGAACAAAGAAACAGUGGGGUCACUCAGAGGAGAAGAUGGUGAAAUGCGAACAGGGGACACAGAAAGGGCUGAACUCCUCAAUGCCUUCUUUGCCUCAGUCUUCUCCGAUAAAGAAAACAAUGCCCGACCUGAAGAAUUUGGAGCAAAUGAUUCAGCAAAGGAAACACAGCCCAGAAUAACUAAGGAGAUAGUACAAGAAUACUUGGCUAGUUUAGAUGUAUCCAAGUCUCCAGGGCCAGAUGAACGGCAUCCAAGAGUAUUAAAAGAACUGGCAGAUGUGAUCUCAGAACCACUGGCAGUCAUCUUUGAGAAUUCCUGGAGAACAGGCGAAGUCCCGGCAGACUGGAGGAGGGCAAAUGUUGUCCCUAUUUUCAAAAAGGGGAAAAGAGAGGACCCAAAUAAUUAUCGCCCAGUCAGUCUGACAUCAAUACCAGGGAAGAUUCUGGAGCAGAUCAUUAAGCAAACAGUCUGUGAGCACCUAGAAAAGAAUGCUGUGAUCACCAAUAGUCAGCAUGGAUUUCUGAAAAAUAAGUCAUGUCAGACUAACCUGAUCUCGUUUUUGACAGAAUUACAAGCCUGGUAGAUGAAGGGAACGCAGUGGAUGUAGCCUACCUUGAUUUCAGCAAGGCAUUUGACAAGGUGCCCCAUGAUAUUCUUGUAAAGAAGCUGGUAAAAUGCGGUCUUGACUAUGCUACCACUCAGUAGAUUUGUAACUGGCUGACUGACCGAACCCAAAGGGUGCUCAUCAAUGGUUCCUCUUCAUCCUGGAGAAGAGUGACUAGUGGGGUGCCCCAGGGUUCUGUCUUGGGCCCGGUCUUAUUCAACAUCUUUAUCAACGACUUGGAUGAUGGACUCAAGGGCAUCCUGAUCAAAUUUGCAGAUGACACCAAACUGGGAGGGGUGGCUAACACCCCAGAGGACAGGAUCACACUUCAAAACGACCUUGACAGAUUAGAGAACUGGGCCAAAACAAACAAGAUGAAUUUUAACAGGGAGAAAUGUAAAGUAUUGCACUUGGGCAAAAAAAAUGAGAGGCACAAAUACAAGAUGGGUGACACCUGGCUUGAGAGCAGUACAUGUGAAAAGGAUCUAGGAGUCUUGGUUGACCACAAACUUGACAUGAGCCAACAGUGUGACACGGCAGCUAAAAAGCCAAUGCAAUUCUGGGCCUCAUCAAUAGGAGUAUAGCAUCUAGAUCAAGGGAAGUAAUAGUGCCACUGUAUUCUGCUCUGGUCAGACCUCACCUGGAGUACUGUGUCCAGUUCUGGGCACCACAGUUCAAGAAGGACACUGACCAACUGGAACGUGUCCAGAGGAGGGCAACCAAAAUGGUCAAAGGCCUGGAAACGAUGCCUUAUGAGGAACGGCUAAGGGAGCUGGGCAUGUUUAGCCUGGAGAAGAGGAGGUUAAGGGGUGAUAUGAUAGCCAUGUUCAAAUAUAUAAAAGGAUGUCACAUAGAGGAGGGAGAAAGGUUGUUUUCUGCUGCUCCAGAGAAGUGGACACGGAGCAAUGGAUCCAAACUACAAGAAAGAAGAUUCCACCUAAACAUUAGGAAGAACUUCCUGACAGUAAGAGCUGUUCGGCAGUGGAAUUUGCUGCCAAGGAGUGUGGUGGAGUCUCCUUCUUUGGAGGUCUUUAAGCAGAGGCUUGACAACCAUAUGUCAGGAGUGCUGUGAUGGUGUUUCCUGCUUGGCAGGGGGUUGGACUUGAUGGCCCUUGUGGUCUCUUCCAACUCUGUGAUUCUAUGAUUCUAUGGUUUCAAAGCAGACCUCAGCUGUUCCUGAUCGCAUGUGUUUGAAGUACUCCUAAUACCCUUGCAGGCUAUCAGAAUGACACUUGACAAAAGCUUUGCCACGAGAUGCUCCUCAAAACUUUUUAGAUCCAACUGCAGUUUAGGCUGUUGUGAAUGAUACCCCCAGAUCUCUCUGCAGAAAAGAAAUGCCACUUUAAUGGAACCAGAUCAGCAGUUUAAGUGCAUUACUAUUUUAUUAGACUGUAUUGUGAAGUAAGUGCAUAAGUGCCGAUCAGCACUUCUCAUUUAUACUUGGGUUUUUAUAGGGGUUAUCAACAAGGCAAUGUGUUAAAAGCUCAGUUGGUCUGGAUCAGCAUGUCAGUGCAUUAGUGGGUCAUGUAAAUGCUUAGAUGUUAGACUCCUGUGAGACUAUUGAAGUAUUUCUCUCAUUAAUCUUUCCAUUCCUGGUUUGUGUUGCUUUCAAGUAACUGUUUUGAACUUGGUGGAUCUCAGUUAUCAUCAUGUAUAGGUGUUAUUGGCUCUUUUGUGGACUUGGCUUUAAAAAGGAGUAACAUACAGUUGUAUUGAUUUCUUACUUCCCUUUCCUCUUUCUGAAUAUAAUAAGUGAAUAUUGAGAACAGAAUUUUUUCCUUUGCUUUUGCUUUUCAAACUUUCAGUAUAUAACUCAAAGGAACCAAAAGGAAUAAAAUAGUACAUUUAUAAGUACAGUAAAUACAAUAUAAUGGGGAAAAGUAGAUUGUUAAUGAAUAGCGUAAAAUGGAGAUUAUAUUGAUUGCUAACAUAGGCUAACCCUAUCAUAUAAACAAAUACGAGACAUAAAUAGCAGACAUGAGAAAGCCAUCAAUUAAUUAUCCUGAAAUUCCUUGUUCCAACACUAUAUAAAUAAAAAUCAUCUCUCAGUGAACCUGUUGGCUUGAGUGUUUUGUUUGUUUUUCUUAGUCCUGGAAAAGUAUGGAGGUUUUGUUUAGAAAUCUACCUUGCAGACUUUCCUUAACCAUUAUGUGGUGCUUGGUAAGUCUGGCGAUUUCCAGUGUUCUCCAAUGCAAAGUGUAACUAUUAGUAAUGAACUUAGCACAUGUUGUAGAUCAAGUUGUUCAGUUUCAGAUUUAUGAGAUGGUAUGCUGGUGGCGCUGUGGUCUAAAUCACUGAGCCUAGGGCUUGCCAAUCAGAAGGUUGGCGGUUCAAAUUCCCACGACGGGGUGAGCUCCCGUUGCUUGGUCCCUGCUCCUGCCCACCUAGCAGUUCAAAAGCACAUCAAAGUGCAAGUAGAAAUAUAGGUACCUCCGGCAGGAAGGUAAACAGUGUUUCCGUGCGCUGCUCUGGUUUGCCAGAAGUGGCUUAGUCAUGCUCGCCACAUGACCCGGAAGCUGUCUGCGGACAAACGCCGGCUCCCUUGGCCUAGAGAGCGAGAUGAGCUCGCAACCCCAGAGUCAUCCGUGACUGGACCUAACGGUCAGAGGUACCUUUACCCUGUAAAAAGUAGUACAGUAGAAAGAACUUCAAUCUAAACCUUCUGCAUAUUUCCAAAAAAAAUUGCAUACGAUCUGCUUUUGAUACUUGAUAUUUCCAGCAAUAAUCAGAAAUUGAUUAAUAGAUUUUGCUCAACUUAUAAAGAGUGAGAUGCCAUUGAAUAUGAUUUUGAAAAAGUUCUCUUUUUGGUUUUCAUUUAUUAAUAUUGAGGGAACGUUAUUGAACAACCAGACCCAUUUUUAUUCCUGCAUAGAUAAGCUCAUUGUAUUUCCCCAAUUUUUUUAAAAAUGAAAUAAGGUUUGAUUAUGGUUCAAUUGCGGAUUUGCCAGAUAAGAUAUCAUACAUUUUACUCUUCAGUUUUUUAAAUAAAGCUGAUAAUCCAGUUCUUGAGCAUUGCAAUUUCAUUAGGGUGACCAUGUUUUCCAAUCAACUAGGUAACAAUAUGCCACGUUUGAAAGAAUUGGUAAAGUGAAGGGUAAUAGCCUUCCAGUAAAAUAGCAAGCUUAUUAUAGGAUAUUAUACGUUUGUUAAUGAUCUGCUUACAAAUUGGUAAAAUGAAUUUUCAGCACCAAGUUACAACAUUUCCCCAAAAUUUGCUCAUAAAUAUUAGAGAGAGAGAGAGAGAGAGAGAGAGAGAGAGAGCUGAUGGUCCAGGCUUAAGUGUGGUUAGAAUUUGCACAAAACUGUGUUUAAUAAUUUGGUGGUAGCAAGACCAUGGGAUUGAAUAUUAAAGUUUGUGGUUUAAAUUUAUCCAUAAUUUAUCUGGUUGGUACCAAUCUUCAGUAGAGGUUACUCUCACAGCAUUGCACAGUGUUUGGUACUUUUAGAGCUUAUUUAUUAAUUUUUUAAAAAGUAUUUUAUUAUGCAUCAUAGAAAUGGUUAUUUUGCCAUAUAAAAGUUAUGAUCUUUUGCCAACCGAAUAAUAGUGUGCAUAUGUCUCAAUGAGGUGUUAAUUAACAAAAACAAUAUUUGUAACAGGAUGUUCAAUUUAACUGUGGAUAUCCUGCUUCCAUGUCAUCUUGGAGUCUUUGUCACUGUCUAAAAGUAAUAUAUGCAAUGCAACUAGCAGUACCAGAUAACUAUGCUGUGUU